AGUGAACGCUGGCGGUAGGCCUAACACAUGCAAGUCGAACGGCAGCACAGUAAGAGCUUGCUCUUACGGGUGGCGAGUGGCGGACGGGUGAGGAAUACAUCGGAAUCUACUUUUUCGUGGGGGAUAACGUAGGGAAACUUACGCUAAUACCGCAUACGACCUACGGUUGAAAGCAGUGGAUCUUCGGACCUUUCGCGAUUGAAUGAGCCGAGGUCGGAUUAGCUAGUUGGCGGGGUAAAGGCCCACCAAGGCGACGAUCCGUAGCUGGUCUGAGAGGAUGAUCAGCCACACUGGAACUGAGACACGGUCCAGACUCCUACGGGAGGCAGCAGUGGGGAAUAUUGGACAAUGGGCGCAAGCCUGAUACAGCCAUACCGCGUGGGUGAAGAAGGCCUUCGGGUUGUAAAGCCCUUUUGUUGGGAAAGAAAAGCAGCAGGUUAAUACCCCGCUGUUCUGACGGUACCCAAAGAAUAAGCACCGGCUAACUUCGUG
rnacentral:rRNA from 1 species